GAUGAACGCUGGCGGCGUGCCUAAUACAUGCAAGUCGAGCGAACGGACGAGAAGCUUGCUUCUCUGAUGUUAGCGGCGGACGGGUGAGUAACACGUGGAUAACCUACCUAUAAGACUGGGAAAACUUCGGGAAACCGGCGCUAAUACCGGAUAAUAUUUUGAACCGCAUGGUUCAAAAGUGAAAGACGGUCUUGCUGUCACUUAUAGAUGGAUCUGGGCUGCAUUAGCUAGUUGGUAAGGUAACGGCUUACCAAGGCAACGAUGCAUAGCCGACCUGAGAGGGGGAUCGGCGACACUAGAGCUUAGACAGGGACCAGAGUCCUACGGGAGGCAGCAGUAGGGAAUCGUACGCAAUGGGCGAAAGCCUUACGGAGCGACGCCACGCGUGUGAUGAAGGUGUUGGGAUCGUAAAGCUCUGUUACUAGGGAAGAACAUAUGUGUAAGGAACUGAGGACAGAUUGACGGUACCGAAUCAGAAAGCCACGGCUAACUACGUG
rnacentral:rRNA from 1 species